UGCGUAGGCGGAAUGAUAAGUUAGUGGUGAAAUACCCCGGCUCAACCGGGGAACUGCCAUUAAUACUGUUAUUCUUGAGUAUAGUUGAAGUGGGCGGAAUGUAUUAUGUAGCGGUGAAAUGCUUAGAUAUGAUACAGAACACCAAUAGCGUAGGCAGCUUGCUAAACUAUAACUGACGCUCAGGCACGAAAGCGUGGGGAGCAAACA
rnacentral:rRNA from 1 species